AUGUUGAGCUCUCUCGACUCCAAGAAGCAGUGGGAGAAGACAUUCUUGGACUGUUUCUGCCGUGUCGACGCUGAGGCCGAGGCGCCCGUGUUCUUGACCUCGAGCUCGCCGGCCCAACCCGCCGGCGCCUGGGACCCAUCCAACCCGGCUUUAGCUCACGCCCGCCGUGUCGACCUCGAGCUCUCCGUCGAAGAUGACGCGAGGAGGCGCUCCAGCUCCCUGUCGCCCCGCGUCCAUCUGAACCGCAGGACGGCGCUCGCGCGGCGGCUGCCUCGCUCUCUUAGCCUGGCUGUAUCGUCCGUGAUGCGCUAG
rnacentral:rRNA from 1 species